rnacentral:lncRNA from 1 species
CUCUGCGGUUCUGUAGGGUAACUGCUGCUAGAGAGCCUAAUUGAUUUUGGAGUGCCGCCGGGUUAGAGUCUCCGCGACUGAGCUGGUCUCGGCAAGCGGUGCCCAACAUGGGGGCUCACAUCCGGGUCAAAGGGUCGCCGGAGCGACAGUUGGAGAACGUGAAACUAAACUGGAGGACACCCGAGUACUCUUAAGCAAUCCCCGUGAGCCAGGAGAGCGUAUAGCACAGCUCCUGAUUGUGCCGUGAGAGUGGACAGGGCGAUGGCAGGUUCGCCGGGUGUGAGGCUUCACAGCGGUCCAGGGACCAAGUCGAGAUGGUGAAAACAAGACCAAGAUUGGAAAGCCAGCUUCAGAGGAGGGAAUUACAGCAAAAAUUGAACCAUUGACAGAAGAGUCUAGCAGUCUCAGAGAGAAUGUUCUCCAGGAUUCUGAAGGCAGAGAAUUCUGUGAAUUUGGGGAUAAAUUAAAUGAAAAAGAUCAGAACGCCUUUAAAAGGAGACCUCAAAACUGUGACAAAUAUGGGCAAAGCUUUGUUUGGAGUACAAGCCUUUUUAGGCAUCGAAGAACCCAUGGUGAGAAAGCUUAUGAAUGUGACAGGAGUGACUGGUGAGACAGUCAGCUACAAAAUGGAAAAAAACAAAUAUGACAAAAUGCCAAGGGGCCUAACACCACGGAAGCAAUAAGGGCUGCAGGAAAUGAAAAGAGAGAUAUCUGAGGUGGUAUUAAAGGUAGUGAAAGAGAUGGGUCGGUAUGUGAUGAAGAUCCUUUUCUUUAGAAAAGAAUUCUUCUCACAGUCACGUGGUCACAGGAUUGUUACUUUAGAAUCCCUUCCAACAUGUCUGGACCACAUUAGCCAGGAAAAAGAACUUUAACAUAGAGGACACAAACACAGGGCGUGCAGUAGCGCCAGAAUCUUUGUAUAGGAGGCUCAGAGGAGCAGCAAGAUCGAAACAGACACCCAGGGCGGGGCGCAGUGGCUCACGCCUGUAAUCCCAAGCACUUUAGGAGGCUGAGGUGGGUGGAUCACUUGAGGU